UCGGGAAUUUUGGGCAAUGGGCGAAAGCCUGACCCAGCAACGCCGCGUGAGGGAUGAAGUAUUUCGAUAUGUAAACCUCGAAAGAAUGGGAAGAAUAAAUGACGGUACCAUUUAUAAGCUCCGGCUAACUACGUGCCAGCAGCCGCGGUAAUACGUAGGGAGCAAGCGUUGUUCGGAUUUACUGGGCGUAAGGGCGCGUAGGCGGCGCGGUAAGUCACUUGUGAAAUCUCUGAGCUUAACUCAGAACGGCCAAGUGAUACUGCUGUGCUAGAGUGCGGAAGAGGCAACCGGAAUUCUUGGUGUAGCGGUGAAAUGCGUAGAUAUCAAGAGGAACACUUGAGGCGAAGGCGGGUUGCUGGGCCGACACUGACGCUGAUGCGCGAAAGCCAGGGGAGCAAACG
rnacentral:rRNA from 1 species